CUUCUUGCCUGGGGGAGGGCGGCGAAUACUUACAGGAUAGCGCGGUGCGAUCCGGCCUUAGGGAGCAAACCAGCGUGAAGGUUCUAAAACGAAGGCUACGCACGUAGAAGCUCCAGCGGAAGGUUUUCGGACGCGGGUUCAAUUCCCGCCGCCUCCACCA
rnacentral:tmRNA from 1 species